AUUGCAAGAAUGGUCCCUGUGGUAUGUCCAAAAAUGCUACUUUGGGCCAAACAGGUUUGGACUAGCGAAAAUAGUCCAAAAGUUUUCAUUUUGCUGCGAUUUUGGUCCAAAACAGUUUAAAAUUUUUAAAAAUGACGAAUUUGCCCUUUUCCAUUUGUUUUUUCUUUUCUUUUUGUUAUUUAAUUAUUUUCUAACUAAAAAUAUAAAAAAUAAAAGAAACUCUCUCUCUCUCUCCCUCCCCCCUAAUCACCAAAAAAAACCUAGCAACCAUCGAAUUUGUUGCCUUCUUCAACCCAACCUCUCGUCUUCCUUCCAUUUUAAUGGCAGACCGACCCAAUAACCACCAAAUCGCCGCCAUGGCCAGCUGAAGCAAGCCUCCGCUCGAUCGCAAACAGGACCGUCGGCACUGUUCAGCGGAGAAAAAGAACCGACGACAUCCACCAUUUUCCCUUUUGUAUUCAUCUCUUUUCGACCCUCAAGCUGCUUCCAUUCGUUCUUCCUUAUUCCUCCAUCGAUCUCAGUUCUGUAGGUGCCACCUCUGAUACCAAUGAUGGUUAUGAAUCUGCUGUAGGGGCAAGAUCAAUUUUCAACUUAGCUUCUUCCAAGAUCAGUUUGCAACCCAAUUUAACUCCUAAUCGGACAUAUCAAGCCUCGUUUACCCCCAAUUUCCUUUAAUUCAUGCUUAAGCAAAGUCGAUUCCUCAACAAUACAAGGUAUCUUAUUAGAUUCAAGCCUUAAUCCUUCUGUUCAAGUUUCGAUUUUGGUUGGUGCUAGGGCUUGCUUUAACAGGAAGCUCCAGCAAGGGUUAGAUCGAAAAAACCAAACCUUGAAACACCAACAAGGUUAGAUCGA